rfam:Hordeum vulgare subsp. vulgare, WGS project CAJW01000000 data, contig: morex_contig_1613405
GUUAUACUCCCUCUGUCCGGAAUUACUUGUUGCGGAAAUGGAUGUAUCUAGAAAUAUAUUAGUUCUAGAUACAUCCAUUUUGAUCAGUUUCUACAACAAGUAAUUCAGUGCAGAGGGAGUACUUC